AACAGGAUUAGAUACCCUGGUAGUCCACGCCCUAAACGAUGUCUACUAGUUGUCGGGUUUUAAUUAACUUGGUAACGCAGCUAACGCGUGAAGUAGACCGCCUGGGGAGUACGGUCGCAAGAUUAAAACUCAAAGGAAUUGACGGGGACCCGCACAAGCGGUGGAUGAUGUGGAUUAAUUCGAUGCAACGCGAAAAACCUUACCUACCCUUGACAUGUCAGGAAGUCCGGAGAGAUCUGGAUGUGCCCGAAAGGGAACCUGAACACAGGUGCUGCAUGGCUGUCGUCAGCUCGUGUCGUGAGAUGUUGGGUUAAGUCCCGCAACGAGCGCAACCCUUGUCAUUAGUUGCUACGAAAGGGCACUCUAAUGAGACUGCCGGUGACAAACCGGAGGAAGGUGGGGAUGACGUCAAGUCCUCAUGGCCCUUAUGGGUAGGGCUUCACACGUCAUACAAUGGUGCAUACAGAGGGCCGCCAACCCGCGAGGGGGAGCUAAUCCCAGAAAGUGCAUCGUAGUCCGGAUCGCAGUCUGCAACUCGACUGCGUGAAGUUGGAAUCGCUAGUAAUCGCGGAUCAGCAUGUCGCGGUGAAUACGUUCCCGGGUCUUGCACACACCGCCCGUCACACCAUGGGAGCGGGUUUUACCAGAAGUAGGUAGCUUAACCGUAAGGGGGGCGCUUACCACGGUAGGAUUCGUGACUGGGGUGAAGUCGUAACAAGGUAACC
rnacentral:rRNA from 1 species